rnacentral:snoRNA from 1 species
GCAGCACUGUGUGCACAGCUGCCCAUCUGUGUCUGGUGGUGUGGUCUGCUUGUGUUCUGCAUGUGGACCACACUGCUCACGCAAAACCUGUGGCCAAAGAGCAACCGGAGAUCAUAGUACUGGUCCAGUGACGUCUGAAGGACGAGCCUCCCACUGACCAGCCUCCACACUCUCAAACAUCU